UUAAUGUGGUCAAUGUUGUGUGUCCAAAUAGCAUAGAAUAUUAGUUUUUUUUUUUUUUUCCAUUUUUGAUUUUUUUAUAUUAACAAGUAAUUACAUUAUUUAAUUAUUUAAUUUAAUUUAUUAUUAUUAAUAUUUGGCUUUUUAUCACAAAACGUCUCUGACAUUUACGAAACUAGCAUCCUUAAAGUUUUUUUGUAUCACUCAUGGUCCCUAACGUUAAUAUGGGUGCUCUUAAAUAGUCCUUCUGUCAAAAAAACUGUUAAAUUCAGGGAUAUAAUUAUCAAAUCAAUCCAAAAUUAUAAAAUAUAUAUUAUUUCCUUUCCUUCUCUAUUUCUUCUUCGUCGUUCUCAUCAAUAAGUUCCUACUCUACAGGGAGAAUGCAUAUCUCCAAAAUCCAAAACGAUGUGAAUGUCACUGUACGGCAGAAACCAAAGCAUGCGAAAGGCAAUUAGUAAACUAGUACUUAGCCAAAAUAAUAAGGUAGCUUAUGCAGAACAUUUCAUUCAAGAUCCGCAGAAUAGUAAAACAUUUGAGCCAAAAUAUUUAGAUUAUUAAUGAAAUCUAGUAUGCCAUUCUACAAAGGAAAGGCAAACGGAAACCUGGAGAAGUCCUCAAGAAAUUCAUGAUGAUCACUCCCUUGCCCUUGC
rnacentral:lncRNA from 1 species